CACCGAAUCACCCCGCUGCAGACAGGCACCCACCUGGUUCCACACUACAAAGAUGCAGAGGACACCAGAACACCAGACCAAGGAAAUCUCUGGGAGGAGCAGAGCUGCCCCCAGUGCAGAGGACGUGAAAAUUCUGAGCUGCCAUACCACUGCCCCCAGUGUCAAGGAGCAGAGCCACCCCCAGUGCAGAGGAGGUGAGCUGUGUGGAUGCCAGCAGCAUACACCCCCAGCUUAAAUGAGAAGACACUUAAAGAAGUCUCAAAACCAGACUCCCAGAUCACCUAAAGUAACCCCAAAGGGAAAUGAGAUGGAACACUGUCAUACUCAACCACCUGGACUUGCCAAACUAACAUUGAAAGAGGAUCAGAAAAAAUGAAAUCAGAAAUCAUUUCUCA
ensembl:lncRNA